GGCCCGUUAGCCAGUUGGUUAGGCGUCGUGCUAAUAACGCGAAGGUCGCGGGUUGGGAUCCCCUCACGGGCCA
rnacentral:tRNA from 1 species